UACGGAGGGUGCAAGCGUUGUUCGGAAUUACUGGGCGUAAAGCGUGUCUAGGUGGAUUCGUAAGUCAGGCGUGAAAUCCCCCGGCUCAACCGGGGAAGGUCGCUUGAUACUGCGAGUCUUGAGUUUCGGAAAGGUGGGUAGAAUUCCCAGUGUAGAGGUGAAAUUCGUAGAGAUUGGGAGGAAUACCGGAGACGAAGGUGACUCACUGGCCGAACACUGACACUCAAGCACGAAAGCGUGGGUAGCAAAC
rnacentral:rRNA from 1 species